GAUGAACGCUGGCGGCGUGCCUAAUACAUGCAAGUAGAACGAUGAAGCGAGGAGCUUGCUCUUCUUGGAUGAGUUGCGAACGGGUGAGUAACGCGUAGGUAACCUGCCUGGUAGCGGGGGAUAACUAUUGGAAACGAUAGCUAAUACCGCAUAAAAUUGAUUAUUGCAUGAUAAUUAAUUGAAAGAUGCAACUGCAUCACUACCUGAUGGACCUGCGUUGUAUUAGCUAGUUGGUGAGGUAACGGCUCAACAAGGCGACGAUACAGAGCCGACCUGAGAGGGUGAUCGGCCACACUGGGACUGAGACACGGCCCAGACUCCUACGGGAGGCAGCAGUAGGGAAUCUUCGGCAAUGGGGGGAACCCUGACCGAGCAACGCCGCGGGAGUGAAGAAGGUUUUCGGAUCGUAAAGCUCUGUUGUAAGAGAAGAACGGGUGUGAGAGUGGAAAGUUCACACUGUGACGGUAUCUUACCAGAAAGGGACGGCUAACUACGUG
rnacentral:rRNA from 1 species